rnacentral:sRNA from 1 species
GUAAAGAACAAGUGGCACGUUCCAGUGACUAUCUCGAUGGGCAACUGACCUUUCGCGAGCGUCUGCUGGUGCGUCAUCACUUGAUGUUUUGCCCGAACUGCCGGCGCUUUAUCCGUCAGAUGCGCCUCAUGCAGGCAACCCUGAAGAUCAUGCCGGACGAGCCGGUAGAGGGUGUGGAUGCCCUGGCGCAGCGGCUGGCUGCCGAGCGGCUCAAGGAUCACAAAGACGGGGAAUAACCAGGCU